UAGGGACAGAAGAGACGUCACGGACUCAGUAGUAUGUUUCUCACUUAAAGCAAAUCAACACCCUGAGAAGUGAAGACCUUAGUAACCACAUCGAUAGAGUGAACAGGGAAUACAAAGCUUAGUAUACUGGACUUGAAGGAAAUUAUAGAACUAGGAAACUGAUUGAAAAAAACAGGAAGAAAGUCUGAAAACAUGGAGUAGCUAGUGAUGUCAAUGAACUUGAUCCUGUGAUGUGGACACAAGCAGCAGUGACCUCAUGAUAUUUGGGAGGACUUAUUAACUGACAAUUAUUGAAAUACAAGAGGACAUGGUACCAAGGAGGAUUUUGUAUACACAUAUGUGACUCUAUGGAUUAUAUCUAACAUUUUCAACAUCAGUUUUG